CCUACGGGAGGCAGCAGUGAGGAAUAUUGGUCAAUGGACGAGAGUCUGAACCAGCCAAGUAGCGUGAAGGAUGACUGCCCUAUGGGUUGUAAACUUCUUUUAUAUGGGAAUAAAAUGUUCCACGUGUGGGAUUUUGUAUGUACCAUAUGAAUAAGGAUCGGCUAACUCCGUGCCAGCAGCCGCGGUAAUACGGAGGAUCCGAGCGUUAUCCGGAUUUAUUGGGUUUAAAGGGAGCGUAGGUGGAUUGUUAAGUCAGUUGUGAAAGUUUGCGUCUCAACCGUAAAAUUGCAGUUGAAACUGGCAGUCUUGAGUACAGUAGAGGUGGGCGGAAUUCGUGGUGUAGCGGUGAAAUGCUUAGAUAUCACGAAGAACUCCGAUUGCGAAGGCAGUUCACUGGACUGCAACUGACACUGAGGCUCGAAAGUGUGGGUAUCAAACAGGAUUAGAUACCCCAGUAGUC
rnacentral:rRNA from 1 species